UUUUCCUUUGUACAGGUUUUUCUGUCACUAAAUGAUCCAGCCUGUUGGCAUUAGGCUGGGAACAGUGCAGUGAGAUAGCACGAACUGGAACGAAGGUUUAAUGGUUUAGUUAAUGUUAGGAUUUAUUUAUUUAGCCUCUCAGUGCCUAAUAAGACUUUUCUCCAUUUUUUACUUGGCUGUUAAUUUUCUUGUAGGUUAGAUUCUGGGAAGCAGUACACUUAUAGAGCUCAUCUUUGACUCACAAUUUGAAGCUAAGGAAACUAAACAUGUAAUUUGUUUGUAAACUGAAGUGUGGUCCCCUUUUCUAUUUUCAGAGUUUGUGACAACUUUCUAUAAAAACUUGAAAUUCAAUGUGAAUGUAAAUCUCAUCCAUACGAGAGACACAGGACAAACGACGUGUCUUAAGUCUGUCAGGACCUUCUCUGCAGGGGUUCAGUAUGGGCCAACAAGUUCUCCUUCCCUGACUUGACCCCCAAAUGUUUAUUUUAACUUUGUGUUGCUAACAUUAAAUAGACUUACAAGAAGAAUUCCUCCAAACACUCGAAAGAAAAGUUAGUGUGGUUGAAAAGUACUCAGCUGUGUUCCGGGUUCCGCAGAAGCCCCUGGAUCUCUCGCUGAGCUCACUGGCUGGCGUGUAAAGGGUGGUGUCAGGUGGAGUUUUACUUUUUUCCUCUCUAACUUGCUUUGAAGCGUCUUAUACUGCAUUCCAGAGUGCUGUGGACUCAAGUGUUCCCCUGUUAAUCUGUCACCCAGUCACAGCGCUCUGUCCUAGUGGCAGCAGCGUGUGCUACCUCACAGGGAAGGUGCAUCAGGUGGAGAGCCUCUUGAGUGUCUUUGCUUCAGUCGCAGUUGGUUUUCCUGUCAGAUCAUAGGCUGGCCUUUACCGUGAAGCUGAGCUGUGCCCCCGGCCUGGGCCUGUUCUGAGAAGCAGCGUGGACGGUGCUGAGCAGCCUGCCUUACCCACAGUGGCAGCAGUGUGCGGUCUUGGCUUUGACAAAUGCUAUCAGCUGCUCUAGACAAAACAAUCCCAUUUUUGGAAUUUCAUAUUUCUGUAAACAAAAAUAUUGGAAGUUUUGUAUUACUUUGAAUUCUUGAAGGCUAAAUUCAGUGGCACUUUACAAAAUGAAUUAGAUUGGUUUGUAACAGUUUUUAUGCUGGAAAUUUUCAUUUUUGACUCAGUUUGCUAUGGGAAGAAACCCCAAAGUGUUUGGAUUAGAAACAAAUAACGGUGCUUGGCUGAAGAGCACUUUAAACUCCUGUGCUGGCGGCAGCUUCUCUCCUGGACUGUGCAUGAUGGUACCACCAACACAUCUUUGUCCGUUGUGCAUUAUAUGGCGUAUGUACUUGCAAAAAUACCCUUUAAAAUAGUUAUAAUUUUAUCUUUUGGUUGUCUUACCCAUGGAGGUCCUUUAGAUCCCUUCAGUAAGUUUUAAUAAAACACUAGGUAGUUAUAGAACUGAAAACACCACAUUGUCUCUUGAGCCGUUUGUGAAAGUGGAGCAGGAAAGCCCAUCCGAUUGGAACUACAGGCUUCCUGGCCAGAGACUCAGAGCUAGGUUGAAACCCAGUGACACCUGCAGAGCGAGCUGUGAGGGUGCAGAGCACCUCUUCUCCAUCCUGCACUGUGGCUCCGGCUGCUUGUAGGGAGUGACAUUCUGAGUGUCCUCGUUAGUAAUCCCAAGUCACCCUCUGUGUUUACAUGUACUGAAGUAGCUGUAAACUAAUGGAACCUGAAAGAACUUUUCCACAUUUAGGAGCUUUUGUACAGCAAGGUCACGUGUCCUGAUCGAAAGAAGACAUGGUAUUACCCAUAUGCAAGGGAAAAAGCUGAAAUGAGGAACUGUCAUUGCGUUAGCUGUCUGUUGAAUUGGGAAGUGAUGGCACAGGGUCUCAAAUUUGUGUUUCUCAAAUGUGAAUUGUAGUCUGAUGCUGCUCUGUGUAGACUGUAUGUGCUAGGGAUAGUCUCAGCACUGAAUAUGCACCGAUACCUCGCAGAUGAACGAGUGAACGAGCGCAGCCUCUGUCCUAGGUUUCCCUACGCCUCACCGAGUGUCUGAGUGCGGAGAACUUGCGUAUCCUGUUUGCUAGCAGACGUACUUCCUGCUCUUUCCUUCGUUGUUACAUAUUUUUAUGUUUGAAGUUUAAUUUUUACUACUGUUAAUUUAAGUAAGAUUUGUUCCAUGUAUAAAAUGGCAUUGCCAGUGAGAAUCAACAGCCUCAUUGACGUAGCUGCUGAGUGAAGUACAUUUGUGUUCUGUGUUCAUGAACUUGCAAUGAAGCCGCAAUCUUCUUCUGAGAUAAAGUGCGGCUUAGGCUUUAUUUCUGUUUAAUAAGGCUUUCUACCAUUGAUUAAAUGAAGGAAUGUAUCUUUUUGAAGAGAUUUAUAUUCUGUAAAUAAACAUUGGUUGUAACAAUAAAGUUGAGUUCUAACUAAUGUG
rnacentral:lncRNA from 1 species